CCUACGGGAGGCAGCAGUGAGGAAUAUUGGUCAAUGGGCGAGAGCCUGAACCAGCCAAGUCGCGUGAAGGAUGACGGCCCUACGGGUUGUAAACUUCUUUUGUCAGGGAGCAAUUUGGUCCACGCGUGGGCUUAGCGAUAGUACCUGACUAAGAAGCCCCGGCUAACUACGUGCCAGCAGCCGCGGUAAUACGUAGGGGGCAAGCGUUAUCCGGAUUUACUGGGUGUAAAGGGAGCGUAGACGGCGCUGCAAGUCCGGAGUGAAAGCCCAUGGCUUAACCAUGGUACUGCUCUGGAAACUGUGGAGCGUGAGUGCGGGAGGGGCAGGCGGAAUUCCUAGUGUAGCGGUGAAAUGCGUAGAUAUUAGGAGGAACACCGGCGGCGAAGGCGGCCUGCUGGACCGUAACUGACGUUGAGGCUCGAAAGCGUGGGGAGCAAACAGGAUUAGAUACCCGUGUAGUC
rnacentral:rRNA from 1 species